UACGAAGGGGGCUAGCGUUGUUCGGAAUCACUGGGCGUAAAGCGUACGUAGGCGGACCUAUUGAAGUCGGGGGAUCGAAAUGCCCAGGCUCAAACCCUGGAACUGCCUUCGAUCUGGUGGUCUGGAGUCCGGGAGAGGUGAGUGGAACUCUAGUGUAGAGGUGAAAUUCGUAAGAUAUUAGGAAGAACACCAGUGGCGAAGGCGGCUCA
rnacentral:rRNA from 1 species